UGCAUGGCCGCCGCCGUAGGAUCGCCACCAACGCUACGCUUUCAAUUUCGAAACCUGCAAAAACCCUAACCCAGAUCAAAAGGGGUGGUUACCAUUGAGAAUCUCAAUAACGAUUCCUUCGUCUUCAUCCACCAAUUGUGAUUCAAUCUUCACUGUCUUCACAACCUAAAACGUAAAUGCCGCCACUGUUUCAACGUAGAAAUCCAUCAUCAUCUUCACAUCUCCACCUUAAAGAGAAGAGGGUGACCC
rnacentral:lncRNA from 1 species